rnacentral:lncRNA from 1 species
UUAUUCCUUCCUUAUCUUUUUUCCUUCUAAUUUUCUACCUCUUUUUGUCUCUCUGUAUGUAUGAAUAUAUGCAUUAGUUUAUCUAUCAAUCGACAUAUGUAUAUGUAUAUACAUAUAUCCAUCCAUGUAUCUAUUCAUCCAUCUCUCUAUCUUGGUGUCAUUCUACCCAUUCAUCAAUCUAUCCUUUUCUCUAUUUCUGUAAUUUUUUUCUAUCUAUCUCUAUAUAUAUGUAUCUAUCCAUCUGUGUAUCUAUCAAUUUAUUUAUGCAUCUGUCUAUUUAUCCAUCUAUCUGCCUCUAUUUAUUUCUCUAUAUAUGUAUAUAUCUAUACUUCUAUCCAUCCAUGCACCUAUCCGUCUAUGUAUCUUUUGCACUAUCUCUUUAUCUCUAUCUUUAUAUCUUUCUUUUUACUAAUAUUUCUCUCUCUUUGUCUAACUUCUUGUGCCUUUGUUUCCCUAUGUAUGCAUGUAUGCAUAUUUGAAUGUAUGUUUCUAUCUAUCCAUCCAUCAAUCUAUCUUUCGGUCUAUCUAUCGCAUCCAACUAUCUGUACGUCCAUCUCUCUGGCUAUCUAUCCAUCCAUCUAUCUAUCUUUCUGUCUAUCUAUUGCAUCCAACUAUCUGUAUGUCCAUCUCAAUGUCUAUUUCCCUCUCUAGUUCUGUCUGUCUGUUUCUCUUUCUCUAUCCAUCUGUCUGUAUCUAUUUCUCUAUGUAUGUAUGAAUGUAUAUAUUCAUGUAUAUAUAUAUAUAUAUAUAUCCAUCCAUCAUUCUGUCUCUGUAUCCAUCUUUGUCUAUCUAUCUUCCUAUCAUCACUCUAUCCAUCCAUCUAUCCAUCUAGCUGCCUGCCUCUAUUUCUCUAUCUAUAUAUGUGUCUACCUACAUACCUAUUUGUUUCUCCAUCUCUGUCUGUCUUUCUCUGUCUAGCUACUUAUCUAUCUCUUUUUUCUCUUUCUAUCUGACUCUUUCUGUCUGUCUACAUAUGUAAGUACAUAUAUAUCAUCUAUCUAGUUAUCUAUCUGUCUAUCUAUGCAUCUGUCUAUCUAUCCAUAAGUCUGUCUGUCUUUAUAUCUAUUUUUCUUUCUAUCAAUCUCUCUCUCUUUCCACAUGUCUGUCUCUUUGUCUAACUUUCUGUCUGUGUAUCUAUCUAUAUCUAUCUCCAUCCAUCCAUCUAUAUGUCCAUCUAUUUGUGCAUCCAACUAGCUAAAGCUCCAUCUCUCUGUCUGUCCAUCUAUUUAUCUGUCUAUCUUUCUGCCUGUGUAUCUAUUUAUCUAUGUAUCUGUCUAUCCAUCCAUCUAUCUGUCUCAAUUUCUCUACAUAUGUAUUUAUGUAUCUAUACAUUUAUCCAUCCAUCUAGCUAUUGCUCUAUUUAUCCAUCCGUUUUCUCUAUCUAUCUAUUCACCUAUCUAUUUUCUUGAUAUCAAUCUCUCUAUUGUUCUUGGUGUCUGUCUCUAAUGUUCUGCUUGACUAGGGAUGUAUGCAGGAAUGUAUCCAUACGUCG